rnacentral:lncRNA from 1 species
CUUUUCCAUCUUUUUUUUGUUCUUUUAAAGCUUAAGAGAGUUAAGUGUGGAAUAUGGAGAUUGGGAGUUUGAAAUUAUUUGAUCGUAAGAAUGGUCGAGGAUACCUUUCCAUCAUUCUUUGUUAGGAUCUCAAAAAGCUUCUUGGUUUCCAGUAAGGAAUCUUUAGUAUUUUCCUGCACGUUCUAAGUGAACUUAUAGAUAGAUUAAUAAUGAAGGUUGAUUUAUUUACAUGAAUGAAAAGUGAAUGGAUGUUUGAAAUUGAAUGUUUUCCCUUUGACUAUGUGAUUUAAUGUUUUAAAGGCAUGAUAUAAUAUUUGAAAUGAAACAACAUGAUUGUACGAUCUUAGCCCCUUACAUUGUCUUUGGAGAAUGUUAGGUACAGUUACUUCCUUUAGGCUAGGCUCGAGAAAAUGCUCAAUGGCAAAAUCCAAGUAUAAAGGCCUCUACAGGCUGAGAUUUGUCAUUAGAUUGCAUCAUUGUUCGAAUGUGAAAUAAUAAAGCAAGUGAAAAGAAUAGAAAAUCUAUUGGAUUUUUAUCACUGAAGGGUUUCUGUUAUGUCUUUGCCCCUAUACCUGUAUCUAAGUCUAGAAAGACUGUGGUGAACCAAUCCUUGUGAAUAGUACGAGCAUUCCCUCUGACGAGAGUGGAUUCCCGUUCUGAUCUGUAAGGGCCACAACAGUGAAGUUUAGCAAUGGUUAUUAGUCUAUCUGAUUGGUAGGGGCCACAGUGACAAGGUACAAUCGUGGUUGUUGUACAAACCAAAUUGUAUACUGAAAUGAACCUGUCUACUUCACAGUGGUAGUUGCGGAUCCCUUCUGCCCCAGUUGAUAUAAAUUAGAACGAUUUUGUGCAAAAAUUUAUGAAAUACGUAAGAAAUUAGAUUAUUUAUUGGCUCUCUUAAUUUAGGAUUUGUGCAUGAUAGUAUGAUUAUGAUUUUGUGAAUAUUUGUAUUUAUUAUUCCAUUACUGCUAUAUGUAUGAUUCUGAUUUUGUGAGUACUUGUAUUUAUUGUUCCAAUACUGUUAUACGUAUGAUUAUGAUUUUAUCAGUACUUGUAUUUGUUGUUCCACUACUACUAUAUUCUUAGUUGUGUUGAACUAGUUUCUGCAACAUUGCCCUUAAGUUUUGAUUGUUGUACUACUCUAAUUUAAAUGUCAUUAGUCUCUCUCUUUAAACUUAAAGAAAUGAUUCAAAAUAUUACAAAAAAACCUAGUUUACGGCAGAAUCGAGAGGUAAGUUAAUAUGUUUUAUUUUAGUAGGGUAUCCGAAAUCAAUUAAUCUUUUAAACCUUAGUAAUGUCUUUUAAAUACUAUUUUUCUUACUGAGUAUUUGAAACUCACGCCAAUCCAUGUCCCCUCAGAUGAUGUUGAGAGCAAUAAUAUGCUUGAUGAGUUACCUUUUGAGACGUGUUUGGACCCGUUCGCGGACCUUUAGAAGGAUGUUGAGUGCAUUGUCUAUCUGCACUCUGAUGCAAAACUCUUUUAAUGAAAGAUGUGACUUUGUAUAAGAGUCUUUAGACGUAUAUUUUGGAAGCCACUUUUUGGCCUCAGGUGUAUUCAAACUAAAAAUACUUUUAUAAGGGAUAAAAAUCUUCUGCUGAUAAUAUAUAUUUAUUAUUCAUGCACUCAUUUAUGUUAUGUUAUUGGGCUUCCAUUACCACUAGGUAUUGGGAUGUCACAUAUGCGAACAGCCUUUAUGGCCCAAGCCCUUUUGACCAAGGAGGCCUUAGGACAGGACAGGACACAUAAGCAGUAGACCUUACGCGCAUUUGUAGGCAUGUACAUGCGCAAGGUGGGCAACCACCAUACAUGCCUGUAUGUACUUAGGGCCCAAAUUGCACACAUAAGACAAUGCGCACGAGGUCUGUGUGCUGGAAACACGCAAACAAUCAACAUCGCACACACAACCAGGAGACACAUGCGAGAUCCCUAGCCUGCGCGGGUGAAGUGUGCAUGCAGAAAGCAGUUUGCUUCCCGCAAGGAGUAUUCUCCCUCUGAUUUUAUAUGUGAUUUUGGUGUUGAUUUUUUAAGACUCCUGUAGCAAAUCAAUGUCAACUUGAUGAACUAUAACACAUGGAAAAUUAAGGGAAUUGUCUAUAUAAUUAAUUUAUUACUAUUUAAUUAGUAAUUUAAUCUUAAAUAUUAUCCAUAGAAUUAAUUAUUUAUUAUGUUUUUACUAGGAUUAAGC